rnacentral:misc_RNA from 1 species
AAGUCGUAACAAGGUUUCCGUAGGUGAACCUGCGGAAGGAUCAUUAAAGAAUACCUGGACUCCGGUCCUCGUCGAGAAAGGUCGUCCCGGGUGGCCUCCAGGUCCCCGGGGGCUUCCCCCCUCCUUACCCUUCUCGUUUGCUCGUUGCACCUCAUCUGCUUGUGCUUUUGGGCACAGCUCCUGCCCGGGUGGUUCCGGGCUUGGGCUCUGCCGGAGGGCCCCAACUCGUGGAUAGUCUAUGUUUGUCUGAGUACGAUAUAAUCGUUUACAA